UACGAAGGGUGCAAGCGUUACUCGGAAUUACUGGGCGUAAAGCGUGCGUAGGUGGUUGUUUAAGUCUGCUGUGAAAGCCCCCCGGCUCAACUGGGGAGGGUCACGCGAUACUGCUCGACUUGAAGGCAGGAGAGGGAAGUGGAAUUCCCGGUGUAGUGGUGAAAUGCGUAGAUAUCGGGAGGAACACCAGUGGCGAAGGCGGGUCUCUGGGCCGAUACUGACGCUGAGGAGCGAAAGCGUGGGUAGCAAACAGG
rnacentral:rRNA from 1 species